rnacentral:rRNA from 1 species
CCUACGGGAGGCAGCAGUGGGGGAUAUUGCACAAUGGGGGAAACCCUGAUGCAGCGACGCCGCGUGGGCGAAGAAGUAUUUCGGUAUGUAAAGCCCUAUCAGCAGGGAAGAAGAAAUGACGGUACCUGAGUAAGAAGCACCGGCUAAAUACGGGCCAGCAGCCGCGGUAAUACGUAUGGUGCAAGCGUUAUCCGGAUUUACUGGGUGUAAAGGGAGCGCAGGCGGCACGGCAAGCCUGAUGUGAAAGCCCGGGGCGCAACCGCGGGACUGCAUUGGGAACUACCGGGCUGGAGUGCCGGAGAGGUAGGCGGAAUUCCUAGUGUAGCGGUGAAAUGCGUAGAUAUUAGGAGGAACACCAGUGGCGAAGGCGGCCUACGGGACGGUGACUGACGCUGAGGCUCGAAAGCGUGGGGAGCAAACAGGAUUAGAUACCCUUGUAGUC